ensembl:lncRNA
UCAGCCCUUUUUUUCUGGAAGUGUCCUCAUUUUUCUGAUGAAAAUGACCAAGCAGAACCCCCAUAAGGUGGGCUCAAAAUAGUUGUUAUUGUGGCUGUGUCUGAAAUAGCAUUUAAUGAGAGCUGACUGAAGCUUCUGAAUGGCUUUAAAGUGACAUUCAGGAGAAAAAGAAGAUGCCCUGCUCUCAGCACGAAGACUGCUGUUCUACAGUGUGUUUGUUCUGUCUGUCUUGUUGUCUCGGUCUUACUCAGAACUGGUUUGUCCUGUCUAGUUUGUAAAGCUUUAACUCAUUGUAGCUGGGAUUGCAGCCAGCCUAAUGAAGUCUUUUAUGUUUCUCAGGUACAGUUAUCAUCCUUUUUGUGUGUACUCUGCUCUAUUCUUUGUCUAAGAUUAUAUACAAGCAUAGUGCUACAGUGCUAUAUUAAUAUAAAGUUGUUAUGUUGAUUUUUUACUUAUGGGAUUAAAUGAAAUGAAGUAGCUUCAGGCAUUUUGAUCAUAUGUACUGUAUAAUCCCAGAUUAAGUUCAUUUAUAAGAAAAGGCUGAAUCAACAGGAAGCUGAAAGAGAAUCAGGUGUUAAAGUGUAAAUUCCAUGUUGCCUGCAUGCAUGUUUUGGAAAAGGCAGAAGUGAGAGACAGUAGAAUGUGUGUGUGUGUGUGUGUGUGUGUGUGUGUGUGUGUGUGUGUGUGUGUGUGUGUGUGUGUGUGUGCGUGUGUGUGUGUGUGUGUUGAUGGUGGUAAUGGAUAUGUUUUUAUAACUUGGUAUGGACCAAAUGCCCUCACAAGUUUAAAACUGGCAGCUGUUCCUAUCUUUGUGGGGACAUUUGACCAAGAUAUAACAACAUGCCAUUUAUUUAUUUAUUUUAACCAAAAUAUUUGACUGGUCCCCAUGAGGAAAACUGCCUUUUGUAAAGCUGUGCCUUUUAUUUAAAAAGAACUAAUAGAACCCAUAGGUUUAAGUGUUAGGUUUAAUAAUUAUGUCAAUGGAAGUUCCUCACAAGGAUAGUAAUACCAACUCCAACAUGUUUUUUGCUGUCAACAUAUACAGUAUAUGCUUGCAUGUGUAUAUUAGAACAAAAUACAAAAGAAUUAAAAGUGUGUGUGAGUAAUAAAUUCACACAGCAGGAGGUUCAUGUUGUUUAGGAAUGUAAAUUUUUUUUCUGUGUGUGUGUAUAUGUGUGUGUGUGAGUGUGUGUGAGUGUGUGUAUGAGUCAAGGCACUCCCUGUACCAUGCGGUAAUGACGUGAGCAGGACAGGUCUGAACAGACCAGGAAAAAUACUGAAGGGUUGGGACCCGGCACCGGAACUCUUAAAUAAGGAACUUAUGCAUUUCUCUCAUUGGAGCUUCAUUUUAGGCUCUCGUCAGCCAGUCUGCUUUCAUUAUCGCUCUCCUUUUCCACACUUUACUCUCACACCCUCCUCCUCUCUCUCACCCUUAUUUCAUCUGGAAGACUUCCUGGGAAGGAAUGCGUGUGGAAACUCCUGGAAAACGAAAGCCAUUGCAAUUCAGAAAGCAUUGCUGUCUCAGCGUGUAUACACACAUGACUCAAUGUUUUCCUCUGAGACAGGAGACAUUUGCAGUCCUGCAGCUCUACUUGCUCAGCAACAGGACAUCUUUUAACAAAUUCCGGCACAGUGGAAACUCCCAGAGGAAUUUUGAAGUCUUCAUUAAACUUUUAUAAGUCAAUGCCUCCUAACUUAAAUAUUGUGAUGGGGCUUAUUGUCUACUUCAGGGUGUUUUUGGCGAGGGUGUUGUAUCUCUCUGUAGGUUGGGUAUUUGGAGCAUUGUAUGAAUUGAAUUAGUGGAUCCAGACAACACCAGGUGCAAGGUGGGAAUCCAUCCUGGAUGAGAGUGUAGUCCAUUACUGGGCACCACACACACACACACCAAUAGCCAAUCCACCUGGCUUGUUUCAAGGAGGCAGGAGGAAACCAGGAGGAAACCCCUCACGGACAUAAGGAGAACAUGCUAAGCUCAACACGGUCAGAAACCCAUGCUCAGGAUCAAACCACGGAUGCUGGAUCUGUGAGGCGGCAACGCUACCCACUGUUCCACUGUGCUGACCUGUUCUGAUAAUUGUCUUUACAAUAUGGAAAGCGCCACUCACUUAUUGAUAAACUGCACAUUUCUGUCAGAGGCCACAUAGCUAUACAGUAUAUGGUGGUUGUGACUCAGGUGGUAGAGUGGGUUGUCCACUAAUCGUAGGGUUGGCGGUUCGAUUCCUGGCCCGCAUGACUCCACGUGCCGAAGUGUCCUUGGGCAAGACUCUGAUCCCCAAGUUGCUCCUGAUGGCAAGUUAGCAUCUUGCAUGGCAGCUCUGCUAUCGUUGGUGUGUGAGUGAAUGGGUGAAUGAUACACAGUGUAAAGCUCUUUGGAUAAGUGUGCCAUUUAUAUGACAAAUCAAGGCAAAAGGUCAAAUAUAUGUUGCAAAACAAAACCUCCAGUACAACAGAUUGUACUCAAGGAAAAUGUCAAUACAACAAUAAGGAUUGUAUUUAAUUCAAUACUCUUGUUGCAUGUACACUUCUAAUGACAAACUGUGCUGUAAAAGUCCAACCUUGAUCUGACAUAUUUAACAACAUAAACAGAUGGAACAGACAUGAGGUAAGUUCAUGCUGUUCUGAGGGUGCCCUCUAACCACAUCUCAAUAUUUCUGAGACGUGCUUCCAUAGCAACAUGCUAUGUUCUCCGUCACAUGCUCAUAAGUAGACUGUUUGGCCUUCGUCACUGAGAUGCAAUUGGCUACAAACUAAGAGCGGUGCUUCCCCUAACACUUCCUUCCUUUUCUCACUGACGUGUUUUGCAUGUACGCGUGUGAAUGUGUGAAUGUGUUUGUGUUGUAUUAGGAUUGUAAACAAAAAGCACUACCGUAGUGUACUUUGCUGACAUAGGAGACCACCACAGUCAUUAUAAUGAACUCUUAACCAGUUCUAACCAGCUAAAGUGGAUUAGUUAGAUAGUACAUCUUGUUUUUGUUUGUCAUUUUGAACCCUUGCCCUUAUGUUUGUGGUUGCAUGUCACUCUAACACUGUGUUAUAGCUUUCAAAUUUACUAUGAUUUUUAGCAUUGCUUCACCUGCAGAGAAGUGCAUGGACACUACUGAGACCAUAAAAAUCAUCUUCGUCUUUUCAUUUAGAAACUCCAACACACAUAAAACAGUCACAGAGUAACAGAAAUAUGAUACUAUGGUCAGGUGUGUGAGUGUAUGUGUACUCUCAGUCUGUCACUGAGCCAAUUACAAAAAUGUCAUCUUUGAGCUCCUAAUGAUUUUAGAACAAAGUGCUGUCAUAUGCAAUAAAAAAAUAGAGGAUGGCCUACUAUUUAAAAAAAAAAGCAGUAUAUUUUGGAGCAAUAGUUACAAGCAUAAAGUUUCGUAAAGAAAUGAUUGGCACAGAAAAAUCUAAUUACCUUGUGUAACCUCAAAAUCUUGUGUAGCUUUAGUGUUUGCAGAGGCAAAGUAAUACAAACAGAAAUGUACGCACAUUGCUUUUCCUGUCUGUUGCUGACACAUCAAGUCCAUCUACAUUUCACAUGCUGAACUGCUAACAUUUGAAUGCUAGUCUUUUUAAUAUGCAGCCACAUCAAAUGUACCAGCUGCGGAGCUUUUAUGAAAGGGUCGCAUUUGAGGAAUAGGAUAAACAGAAAACCUAACAGGCAAAUGUGCAUUUCCUGUUAUUUUAAAUAUACUACGAUUCUUUAAUAUGAGCCCAGCUUCCCAAGCACCUCAUAACUAGAGAUUCAGACAUGUGGAUACCCAUGCCUGGACAGCAUAUAUGCUGAUGAAGGUGUAGAUAGAAAAUUAUGAAAAGGUAGAACAGAGGGUUGUGAGGAUGAAUCAAAGUAUUUUCCUUUGUCUUGGUCUGUAUGUUUGUAUAUGCAAAGACUUUAUGGCUAAAACAGACUUAUACCUAUUGUUGUGUCAAUGUGCUAAUGACCCUUUUCCACAAGGGAUCAUACUCAAAAGCAUAACUGAAUGUAAAAAUCUAGAUGGAUGAGAGAAGCAAAAAUCCAGUUUAUUGUUCAAAAAACAACAAGAGAUCCAAUCAGUGAGGCGUCCCAAAGUGAUCUGAAUCUGUACACAGACUCAAUACCCUAUUUAUACAGUCUUAUCUUUAGUCCAGUUAUCUCAUUCUUUUGAAAUCCCAAUAUGUUUUAAUGAUGUAUGUAUGUAUGUAUGCAUGCAUGUAUCUAUCUAUCUAUCUAUCUAUCUAUCUAUCUAUCUAUCUAUCUAAUCCUCAGGGAAUUUGACCAUGCAAAUUCCCAACUGUUACUGUUAAAGGGAUAGUUCACCCAAAAAUGAAAACUGUGUCGUCAGUUAUUUACCCUCAUGUUGUUCCAAACCCACAAGACUUUCAUUCAUCUUCAGAACACAAAUGAAGCCAUCUUUUAAUAAAACCUUAUUUUUACAGUCCAGUAACCAAAACUUUCCAGCUCCAGUUAGUCCAGAAUACAGCUGCAAGAGUCCUUACUAGAACCUGAAGAUACAACCACAUCACCCCUACCUUAUCCACACUGCAUUGGCACCCAGUAAAAUUUUGCAUUGAUUAUAAAAUACUAUUAUUGACCUAUAAAGCACUGAAUAGCCACAGUACCUGAGCAAAAUUUCAGUCUUUUAUGAUCCACCACACCUACUUCGAUCAAAAAAGAUGAACGAAAGCCUUACGGGUCAUGAGGGUGAGUAAAUGAUGACAGAUUUUUCUGUCAUUUUUAGAUGACCUAUCCCUUUAAACUUAUGUUUUUUGGACCUUGGGAUUUUUGCUCAUUUAAGUCAGUGGAUAGAAUAAAUUAAAUGUGCUAGACUAUAUUACUAUAGUGGCUAUUUAACUUGCACCUACUGAGAAGGUGUGUGUGGGAGCAGCCACAAUAAAUCUCAGGUAAGCUAUGAAAAGAAGCACAGUGCACAUGAGCGGGUGAGGAAUGUAGGAAGGUGUGGAUGUGUAACAAGUCCUUUCAAAACGUCACACCCACACAGACAUAGUCAACUUCCUGUUGGUUCUACCACAGUGUACCUACUGAGUGUGUGUGAUUGUGUGUGCAUGAAGUCACGUACAAGUCGGGGAAGUAAGUAUUGGACACGUGAAAAAAAAUUUUCAGUAAAUAUAUUUCCAUUGAGGUUAUUCACAUGAAAUUUUCACCAGACAUCAGUAUUAGCUCAAGAAAUCCACACAUAUAAAGAAUUCACAACAUUAAAGUCCAUAAAUAAAGUUAUGUGUAAUAAAGUGGAAUAACACAGGACAAAAGUAUUGAAUAUGCUAACAUGCUAAAUGUAUUUAAUACUUAGUGGAGAAGCCUUUGUUUGUAACGAAAGCUUCAAGACACUUCCUGUAUGAAGAAAUGAAUCGGCUGCAGUAUUCAGGUGUGAUUUUGGCCCAUUCUUGUAAACAUGCUGUCUUUAAAUCUUUUUCAAUUGGAUUCAAGUCAGGUGACUGACUGGGCCAUUCUAACACCUUGAUUUUUUUUCCUCUGAAACCAAUUGAGAGUUUCCUUUGCUAUAUGAUUUGGAUUGUUGUCCUGCUGGAAGCUCCACCCACGUCUCAUCUUCAUCAUCCUGGUGGAUGGCAGCAGAUUCUUCUCAAGAAUCUCCCGGUGUGGCAAAUAGAAAGAAGCCAGAAAAGGCUGAGCAGCCCAAGCAAAAGACGACUUCUUCCUUUUCUGAAGUGGACCUGAAUUACGGGAGAUCUUUCUCAGAUUGCAUCAGUCUGGCUGACAUAAACCGUAGGGGGUGCAGGCAUCUAAACCGCAGCUCAAAGCAUCACUGAAUGAGACAUAUCACAAAUCCAUGAGACUACUGUAGCUGGGGUGUGGGUAGGAUGGAUUUUUAAAAGUGAGCUAAACAGAUCUUUGUCCCUUUUAUUAAUUACUAUUUUUGAAUAUAAACUGAUUCAGCUUUACAAAACCAACCUGCAUGAUUAAAUGGUAUGCACUUAUAUAGCGCUUUUUUUCAAGGCACUUUACACUGUGUCUCAUUCACCCAUUCACACUCAUGGUACCAGAGCUGCCAUGCAAGGGGCUAACUUGCCAUUGGGAGCAACCUGGGGUUCAGUGUCUUACCCAAGGACACUUCGGCACGUGGAGUCACGUGGGAUUAGUGGACAACCCGCUCUACCACCUGAGCCACAGCCGCCAAUUAACCUCUUAAACUUAAGAAAUGUAAAGGGAGAGAGUUGAAGUUGGGGGCAGCUGUAAUUACAAAGUUAAUUAGUUAACUUUGACAAAAAAUGUGACAUGAGACAUUGAGAUUAUAUGCAUUCAUUGUGCUUAAAUGUGUACACUACUUAUGUCAUUCAUUCCUUCAUUCAUUUAUCUUCAGCAGCCACUAUUCUGGUCAACAUACAUUCACGCAUUCAUUCAUACCUAGGGGAAAUUUAGUAUAGUCAAUCCACCAAGUAGCAGUUUGUCAGAGCUGAAACUGGGAGAAAACCCACAGAGACACAAGGAGAACAUGCAAAAAUCCACACAGACAGUAACUGGAGUUCAGAAUCGAACUGUGGAUCCUGGAACUGUGAAAUGCAACCUACCCACUGUGCCAGGAUAUCACCCUUAUUUUAUGUUGUGUUAUGUCAUGUCACGCUACGUUAAGUUGCAUUAUGUUACAUUACAUUACAUUAUAUUAUGUUAUGUUAUUUGUGAAUAUGUAAAUGUAAUGGAUUUCAACAUAUGCUUCAUUCAAGCAUGCAAAAAAAACACAAAAGGGUGGAUGAAGUUGCGUUUUUUGACGGACAUGAGUCAUAGGCCUUACAAAGCUAGAGCGGAAUGAAAUCUUGGUUAAAAGAGAAGUAGAUCUCUUCCGUGAGAUGGAUAACGAAAAAUGCUCCAUGCAGCACCUCCAGUGUGAAUUGGCUUUAAGGUUUGUAAUCCAGUAAAUACAUAGAAAACAUACAAAAUGAUUAAGCUAAUGUGAUAUUAUAAGCGUGAGGAGUGAUAGACCAGGAGAUUAAACCUUAAAAUGCUAAUUUAUAUAAAAAGGAAUUUUUCUUAAAUGUAUCAAGUUUCAAGCUUUUCAUGUGAAUAGACAACAUGAUUUGGAUAAAACAACAAGUCUACUGAAAGCAGUUCAAUAAUCACAUAUCAAAAUGGGGCUUGUAUGAUGUGAAAGGAGAAACUUUAAUAAAGAUGACUGUGUCAGAGUUCACUUCCUUAGCAGGCUCAGCACCCAAAAGGAAGCUAAACCAAUAGGCUGAACUCUGGUAAUCUGGGAAUUUUUUAAAUAGUAAAUGCAGAAUGCACACAUUUGCAGGUUCAGGUUUUCUAAAGGGAAUCAAUACUGAAAGUACUUUAGCCAUACACUUUUUGUUGUAACUCCUAAAUUCCUAUUUGUGUAUAAUUCCCCUUUGGUUCUAGAUCCCUAGAUUUGCCUAUGUUAUAUACACUAAAUGUGUAUGGACACCUGACUAUCACACAUACAAUACGUGGGUCUUCCCCAAAAUGGUGCCACAAAGGUGGACACACAAUUAUCUAGAAUGUCUUUCUAUCCUGUAGAAUUACAGCUUCCCCUCAGUUACACUAAGGGACCCAAACAUGUUCCAGCAAUGCCCUGUGCACAAAACAAGGCUCAUAAAGAUAUAGUUUGCCAAGGUUGAUGUGGAAAAACUCAAGUGGCCUGACAUCAACCCUACUGAACACCUCUGGGAUGAACUGGCAUGCCAAAUUUACAUCAGGCCUCCUUGCCCAAUAUCAUCUCCUGACCUCACUAAUGCUCUUGUGUCUGAAUGAGCAAAUACCCAUAGGCAUGUACCAAAGUCUACUGGAAACCUUCCCAGAAGAGUAGACGUUAUUAUAACAGCAAAGUAGUAGACUAAAUCUGGAAUGGGAUGUUCAAAAAGCACAUAUGAUGAUUUUUACUUUACUUUACUUAUGUAGAGUUCACCAAGCAUGCCAUUUUGAACCCAUUCACACUGAAUACAUUUAUAUUUGUAGUCUAACACACAUCUGAUUGACUGGAGUGAAAUCUGAUUGCUGUAUUGCACCUGAUAUACAAAUGAAAUGAAGUAAACAAAAUAAAACAUGUUUAUUUCAAAACAAGUUGGGCCUUGGCUUAUUAUUGGAUGUUAUUAAUCUCUUUGAAUAGUUUAAAAAAGCCUCUGAGAUUUUGAAUUUGUUAAAGCCCCUGUUUUUUUGUUUGUUUGUUUGUUUGUUUGUUUGUUUGUUUUUUUAAAAAUCUGUAGCUAGUUACAUAUAAAACUAUGUUUUUUUUUAAACUGAGAAUCACCUGGAAGUCUUCUUGUGUGCUGCUAGAGAGAGGAUGAAGUGUAGGAAUUGGAAAGCCUGUUCUGGGCUGAUGGGAGCGUCAAAAUAUGUGUUGUGCAGAUGCACCUACUGUACAUGAACCAGUCCAGUGGUUGCAUCUGACAACCAGAGGGAGAAUGAGAGGUGAGCACCAAUGCUGAACAAACAAAACAGGGUAAAGUUAGCAGUGAUAAUAAGGGCAAGCACAUCAAUCUUACAGGUGCCACAGAAGUCCUGAAAUGCCUAGAACGUAAGAAAAAAUACAAUCACCACAUUAGAAGAGAAGACGGUUGAUUGGAGUCAGCUUUGGAGGAUAGUUUAACUGUAACUCCAUAGUCACAGGCUGUUAAGCAGAUAGCUUCAUAUGGACUACAUGAAGAGCACGGGAAAGAUUGCUGUAUGCCAGUAUAUUUAUUGAAAAUACUGCGUCAUGAGUCCCUUUUUUUUUUU